GCAUUUGACCGCUCCUCCCUCCGCGUUGGAGGCGGAAUAGUGGGUUUUGCUGCAACCGGUUUAUUUUCCUUCUGUUUUCACCCAUUCUGGCACAAUCUGGCGCCAUCGUCCUUCUUGUGAGGCCAAGCCUGAAAAUGCGAAGCAGAGAGGCAGGACCAAAAUUGAGGCGAAUCCAGGAACCUGCCAAUGGGUCUCCGGGUGCGGUCUCUGAAACUGGAGGAUAUCGGGAGGAAAGGCUCUCCGAUGCGGAGAUAAUGGGGAAGCUCUUGGCAUGGUUGGCUGUAGGUAUGUGAUACCGGAGGAGCAGGAGUCAAAUAGGAUACGCCGACUUUUAAUUCAAGGAACCCUUUUCUGAAACACUUUGCCACAAUGAAGGAAAUAAGAUUACAGCCGAAGAUACAUAUUAAGGAAUUGUACUCUCAGAGAUGUUGAGAAAAGAUACAUGGGUCUUGGAAGAUAAUUACUCAAAAUAUGCAGGGAAGGUAGUAUAUCUUUCUAUUUUAAAUGUAUUAAGUAUUCCUGGAACUAUAGCAGUGAGUUGGAAAUGGAGGAUUGUCCAAGUAAAAAACAUUUAUUAAGGCUUUAAUGAAAUCUACCUAUUUUAUGGUAUAUAAUCUCAUUAAUUGUCCACUUGGAAAGAAUAAUAACAGAUAUUUAUUUAUUGGCCAGUUACUAUGGGCCACAAAUUAUGCUGAGCUUUUUUUAAUUUCAUUUCAUUUUAUUUUAUUUUUUGAGAUGGGGUCUCACUCUGUCACCCAGGCUGGAGUGCAGUGGCGCAAUCUCAGCUUAUUGCAACCUCUGUCUUCCAGGCCCAAGCAAUCUUCCCACCUCAGCUUCCUAAGUAGCUGGGACCACAUGCAUGUACCACUACACCUGGCUAAUUUUUUUUUGUAUAUUUGGUAGAGACAGGGUUUUACCAUGUUGCCCAGGCUGCUAAGCUUUUUAUAUACAGUAUAUAGAAAGAGUUGGUUUUCUUAAACAAUAUUUAUUUCUCAUAAUAACUCUAUGAAAGCAGGUAUAGACUUCUUGCUUUCUAGGGUUGGUAUCUUGCUUGUUGAGGACCUACCCUUUUGUGUUGCCGAAUUUUUCAUUGUUUGAGUUCUGUCUUUUGUUUCAGAAAGCCAUGGAGUUUUGAAAUUAUUGUUAUAUCAUUAUUUGUUACAUAAUUAUUUCUACUUCUAGAAUCUCAUGCUAACUUGGAAGUGUCUUCUCAGCAUCAAGCCUGAUAUGGAGGGGCAGCUACACCCUAAUACGCUCCAAAACUAGUUAUGCUUUGUUUUAUACGUAAUGCUUCUGUUAUUAGACAAGUGGUUUCCAAAUAUCAGAAGCAGUGCUAGGACUUAAAGGAAAAGGGGGAGUGUUUUUUCUUCUAAUAGAACUUUUGAGCAGUGAUGAAAGGAAAACAAGAAGACUCAAAAGAUUAUAAAUCUCAGGCACGAAUUAGUGUUCUGCCAAUUAGGAACAUUCUGAUUGCUUGACAAGGUCUAUAUUUUGCUGAUGAGGAGUAGAAGCCUGUGGGAGGUGGGGGUGGAAGCAGCAGAAGGAAAAGAGUAGCAAGUAUUUAGUAAAAUGUAUUCAUCAUAGUGGAUAAAAAUCAAGCUUUGGGGAAAAAGGUCAAACUCCUUCAAUGAUGCUGUACAUCUGUACCUUUACUCCAUCCUAUAGCAAAUAUUUGUAUAACUGCACAGAAGAAAUUGGACAAUAUUCCUUGAAAAAUUCUUAGAAAGUUCAACUUUCCAAGUUAGUAUCACCCCAAGGAAAAUUAUAUGAGUAGGAAUACCUAAUUUCUAGCCAUACUCUAGUUCCAAUUAGCUUCUCUAAGUAGCUGGAACUGCAGGCGUGUGCCACCACACCUGGCUAAUUUUUUGUAUUUUUGGUAGAGAAGGGGUUUUGCCGUGUUGCCCAGGCUGCUAAGAUUUUUAUAUAUAGUGUAUAGAAAGAGUUGGUUUUCUUGGCCAGGCAUGGUGGCUCGCACCUGUAAUCCCAGCACUUUGAAAGGCUAAGGCAGGUGAAUCACCUGAGCUCAGGAGUUCAAGACCAGCCUGGCCAACAUGGCGAAACUCCGUCUCUACUAAAAAUACAAAAAUUAGCCGGGCAUGGUGGCACGCACCUGUAACCCCAGCUACUUGGGAGGCCAAGGCAGGAGAACCACUUGAACCCAGGAGGUGGAGGUUGCAGUGGGCCAAGAUUGGCCACUGCACUCCAGCCUGGGUGACAGAGCAAGACUCUGUCUCAAAAAAGAAAGAGUUGGUUCUGUUAAACAAUAUUUAUUUCUCAUAAUAACCCUAUGAAAGCAGAUACAGACUUCUGGCUUUUUAGGAUUGGUAUUUCACUUGUUGAACACCUACCCUUGUGUCAGAUGUAUAGCAGGUUAACAAAGUCAAUACAGUGAUACACUUGACAUAAUCUUUGUUCUGAGUUUUUUUCCCAAUUAUAGUAAAAUUGGAGGUCUUAACUGUUCUACAUUAGAUAAAUAUAUGCAUUUGUUUUAAAGAGCUAAGCAAUGAGAAUCUUACAACUAGAGCUGAAGUUCAAGAAAUAAAUGUCCAAUGAUUAAAUUUUUUCCACUGCUGUUCACAUCAUGAUUUGUUGUGAUUAAUGUAUGUGGAUGAGGACAUAAUAGAAAAAGAAAAUGAUGAGACUUGUAUAUAUUGUGUUUCUGCACAAUGAGUUCCUUUGAAUGUUUUUCGUUUUAGGAAUAAAAUUGAAGGGUGUUUUUCUUAGAGAACAUCAUUUGUCAUAUUUAUUUGAUCAAGAAGUUGAAGAUUUAUAUAAUAAGGUAUGGGACUUACACAUUUAUUUUGAUAAAAGAACACAGAAAAGGUCAGGUAUGAGCAGAAAAUUGACAUUUAUUUCAGCCUAAUGUGGAUACUGUACUCUGAAUUAAAAAUUUCUUUUCCUUACUCUUCCAGCUUUUAAAGAUAAGUAUUAUUUCAAAAUAGUAUUUUUUUAAUUAAUAGAUUCAAUUCAGGAAAGGCAUUGGAGGGGGUGGAGCUUUUAACUUUGACAGUCUCACUCUGUUGCCCAGGCUGGAGUGCAGCGGCGCAAUCUCUGCUCACUGCAAUCUCUGCCUCCUGGGUUCAAAUAGUUAUUGUGGCCCAGCUUCCCAAGUGGCUGGGAUUAGAGGCGCAUGCCACCACACCCAGCUAAUUUUUUUUAUUAAGUAGAGACCAUGUUUUGCCAUGUUGGCCAGACUGGUCUCAAACUUCCAGCCACCAACCUCAGCCUCCCAAAGUGCUGGGAUUAUAGUCAUAAGCCACCACACCUGGCUGUUGGUUAUCUUUUCUUAGAAAUAAUGAUAUAAUCUUUUCAGCACCUGAUAUUCUUAAAGAUCCAGGGUUUACAAAUGACUGUUAGAUAUGCCAAGGAUGACUAGCCUAUAACUUAAGGAUCUGUUCAGGAACAGUAGAAAAGAAGGUGAUAGGAAACUGGGAAUCUUAAAUCUAAUACUAGUUCUGUCAUGAAUUAGGCUUGUUAUUGUAGUUGUUUCUCAAAUUUAAGAAAAUAUGAGGGGUCUUGAAAAAGUGCAUGGAAAAUGCAUAUCAUGAAAAAACUAUGCAUGGAUUUCAAAAUUUUUGGACCAAAAUAAACUCCUACUAACUUGUUAUAACAUGUCUGAACAGGAUCUAGUUUGAAGCACUAAGAAGAAUAAGACAUCAGUUUGAAAAGAGGCUCUAUCAGAACAACACGAAUUCUGCUAAAAUUGAAGCAAGAACAAACAUCAAAUAUAUGUUGACACUUGGGUGGAAGAAUGGUGAACUAAUUGAUGCUUUAUGAAAAGUUGAUAGGGACAGUGCUCCAAAGAAAUCAGUUUACAAAUGGAUAACUCGUUUUAAGAAGGCAUAAGGUAAUGUUGAAGAAGAAGCCCACAGUGGCAGAUCAUCCACAUCAGUUUGUGAGAAAAAAGUUAGUUCAUGGCGUAAUUGAAGAAAACCAACAAUUAACAGCAGAAACAACAGCCAACACCAUAGACAUCUCAGUUGGUUCACCUUACACAAUUUUGACUGGAAAAGUUCAGCAAACUUUAUACCUGAUAGGUACCAAAACCAUUGCACCCAGAUCAGCUACAGACAAGAAUAGAGCUUUCAAUGGAAAUUUUAAAUAAGUGGGAUCAGGAUCUUGAAGCCUUUCAUUGAAAAAUUGUAACAGGAGAUGAAACAUGGCUUUACCAGCGCAAUCCUGAAGACAAAACACAAAGCAGUGGUUACCAAGAUAAGUAGUUCAGUUAAAGCACAAGAGGACUGGUUGAGAGCAAAGGUCAUGGCAACAGCUUUUGAAUGCUCAAGGCAUUUUGCUUGUUGACUUUCUGUAGGGCCAAAGAAUGGUAACGUGCUUAUCAUGGGAGUGUUUUGAGAAACUUAGCCAAAGCUUCAGCAGAAAAAUCCCCGAGAAAGACCAGAGAGUUCUUCACCACAACAAUGUUCCUGCUCAUCCCUCUCAUCAAACAAGGCCAUUUUGCAAGAGUUUUGAUGGGAAAUCACUAGGCAUCCACCCUACAGUCCUGGUUUGGCACCUUCUGACUUUUUGUUUCCUAAUCUUAAAAAAAUUUUUCAGGGCAGUACAUUUUUCUCAAGUUAAUGUAUAAAGAAACUGCAUUGAUGUAGAUAAAUUCCCAGAACUCUCAGUUCUUUAGGGAUGGACUAAAUAGCUGGUAUCAUCACUUACAAAAGUGUCUUGAAUGCUAUAGAGCUAAUGUUCAAAAAUAUAGUUUAUAUUUUUUAUCUUUUAACCAUUUUUCCACAAACUUUUUGAAGUCUCCUUGAAUAUGUACCAUUUAUAAAGGGGAAAAAUUCUGUGACUACUCAUGUUGACUUAAUGCUGACUUAAUUUUCUGUUUUGUAAAUAUAUACAAACAAGUUGAUACAAAUUUUGUUUAUAGCCCUUAAACAAAUUUGUGAAAUAAAUGCAUUCAGAAACAAACUAAAACAAUGAAAUGGAUGCUACUGUUUUACUGAGGUGUAAGCAUAGUACUGGCUGCUAUGGAAAAAGUUACAUAAACAUUCAUGUAUCUUGUGAUGAUUGUUUUGUCUACAACUUCACUCUUUGCAGACAUCAAGACUGUUGAAAUGAGGGGAAGGGAUCUGAAUUCCCAAAAGAAUGUCAAAUGGGCAUGGAGGCUCAUGCCUAUAAUCCUUGCACUUUGGGUGGCUAAAGCAGAAGGAUCC
rnacentral:lncRNA from 1 species